rnacentral:lncRNA from 1 species
AAUAAAACUACUCGCAUUCUUAUGAAAGUCUUUUUGUGAUAUAGGCUUUCUUUUCUCUUGGCUGAAUAUCUGCAAGUGGAAUUGUUGGAUUAAGGGACAGGUGUAUAAAACAGUUUCUGAGGGAAGAGUACUCAUAAAAUUCAUAAUCUGGUUGAAGAUACCAACGGUACAUUAAAACCAAUUGAAAACAGAAAUAUCAAGGUAAAUGUACCACCAUGCAUAGUUUCCAGUUUCCCACACUGUAUUUAGGAUAUGAUCAGUAACAUUUGCUAAAAGGCCAACAUGCAGCACUUAACUUGGGGAAAGUUAAGAGACAAAAAUAAUGGAAACAUUGCAG